CCAAAGAUUCCUGCACCCCUUGUUAUCAGAACUGCGGGGACACGGGAAGGGAAGCAGAGCCGGGAAUGGAAAGCCCGGUGCAAGCGAAGUAGUCGCAGGGUUGGAAAAUCCGCCCUGCAUGAGACGAAGGCGUGAUGCGGAGCGAAAUGAAGUAGUGAAGCUGCGGCCCCUUCCUGUCGAGAAAAGCCGCUAUCGUGUAGCAAGGGCCCGUACCGUAAACCGACACAGGUGGAUGAGGAGAGGAUCCUAAGGCCGGCGGGAGAAGUGUUGUUAAGGAACUCGGCAAAAUGACUCCGUAACUUCGGGAGAAGGAGUGCUGCGCAAGCAGCCGCAGAGAAAUGGCCCAAGCAACUGUUUAGCAAAAACACAGGUCUAUGCGAAACCGAAAGGUGAGGUAUAUGGGCUGACGCCUGCCCGGUGCUGGAAGGUUAAGGGGAGAGCUUAGCGCAAGCGAAGGUUUGAACUUAAGCCCCAGUAAACGGCGGCCGUAACAAUAACGGUCCUAAGGUAGCGAAAUUCCUUGUCGGGUAAGUUCCGACCCGCACGAAAGGCGUAAUGAUUUGGGCACUGUCUCAACAACACACCCGGUGAAAUUGAAAUACCAGUGAAGAUGCUGGUUACCCGCGCCAGGACGGAAAGACCCCAUGGAGCUUUACUCCAGCCUGAUACUGGGAUUCGGUAUUGCAUGUACAGGAUAGGUGGGAGGCUAAGAACUUAUGGCGCCAGCCGUGAGGGAGCCGAUGUUGGGAUACCACCCCUGCAGUACUGGGUUUCUAACCUGCGCCCGUGACCCGGGCGGGGGACAAUGUCAGGCGGGGAGUUUGACUGGGGCGGUCGCCUCCGAAAGGGUAUCGGUGGCGCUCAAAGGUCUCCUCAGGAUGGUUGGAAACCAUCCAGAGAGUGCAAAGGCAGAAGGAGGCUUGACUGCGACACCGACGGGUGGAGCAGGUACGAAAGUAGGACUUAGUGAUCCGGUGGCAUAAAGUGGGAUUGCCAUCGCUCAACGGAUAAAAGCUACCCUGGGAUAACAGGCUUAUCACUCCCAAGAGUUCACAUCGACGGAGUGGUUUGUCACCUCGAUGUCGACUCAUCGCAUCCUGGAGCUGGAGCAGGUUCCAAGGGUUGGGCUGUUCGCCCAUUAAAGCGGUACGCGAGCUGGGUUCAGAACGUCGUGAGUCAGUUCGGUCCCUAUCCGGCGCGGGCGCAGGAUAUCUGAGAGGAGCUGUCCUUAGUACGAGAGGACCGGGAUGGACCGUCCGCUGGUGGACCGGUUGUCAUGCCAAUGGCACGGCCGGGUAGCCAAGACGGGAAGGGAUAAACGCUGAAGGCAUCUAAGCGUGAAGCCCCCCUCAAGAUGAGAUAUCCAUACUCGAAAGAGUGAGAGACCCCUUAGAGACGAUGAGGUAGAUAGGGCAGAGAUGGAAGCACAGCGAUGUGUGGAGUUGACUGUUACUAAUCGGUCGAUAGCUUG
rnacentral:rRNA from 1 species